AGUUAGGUAGUAAUACUUGACCUAGAGCGGCGCACGGGUGCGUAACGCGUAUGCAACCUACCUUUUACUGGGGGAUAGCCCGGAGAAAUCUGGAUUAAUACCCCAUGGUACCUACGAAUCGAUUGGUUUGUAGUUUAAAGAUUUAUCGGUAAAAGAUGGGCAUGCGUCUGAUUAGCUAGUUGGCGGGGUAACGGCCCACCAAGGCGACGAUCAGUAGGGGUUCUGAGAGGAAGGUCCCCCACACUGGCACUGAGAUACGGGCCAGACUCCUACGGGAGGCAGCAGUAGGGAAUAUUGGGCAAUGGUCGCAAGACUGACCCAGCCAUGCCGCGUGCAGGAAGACGGCCCUCUGGGUUGUAAACUGCUUUUAUCUGGGAAGAAAAAGUCCAUGCGUGGAAAAUUGCCGGUACCAGAUGAAUAAGCACCGGCUAACUCCGUGCCAGCAGCCGCGGUAAUACGGAGGGUGCAAGCGUUGUCCGGAUUUAUUGGGUUUAAAGGGUGCGUAGGCGGCUGAAUAAGUCAGCGGUGAAAGACUUCGGCUUAACCGGAGCAGUGCCGUUGAUGCUGUUUAGCUUGAGUGUUGGAGGGGUACAUGGAAUUGAUGGUGUAGCGGUGAAAUGCAUAGAUACCAUCAGGAACACCGAUAGCGAAGGCAUUGUACUGGCCAACAACUGACGCUGAGGCACGAAAGUGUGGGGAUCGAACAGGAUUAGAUACCCUGGUAGUCCGCACUGUAAACGAUGAUUACUCGCUGUUAUG
rnacentral:rRNA from 1 species